rnacentral:rRNA from 1 species
UAGGGAAUCUUCGGCAAUGGGGGGAACCCUGACCGAGCAACGCCGCGUGAGUGAAGAAGGUUUUCGGAUCGUAAAGCUCUGUUGUUAAGGAAGAACGAGUGUGAGAAUGGAAAGUUCAUGCUGUGACGGUACUUAACCAGAAAGGGACGGCUAACUACGUGCCAGCAGCCGCGGUAAUACGUAGGUCCCGAGCGUUGUCCGGAUUUAUUGGGCGUAAAGCGAGCGCAGGCGGUUAGAAAAGUCUGAAGUGAAAGGCAGUGGCUCAACCAUUGUAGGCUUUGGAAACUGUUUAUCUUGAGUGCAGAAGGGGAGAGUGGAAUUCCAUGUGUAGCGGUGAAAUGCGUAGAUAUAUGGAGGAACACCGGUGGCGAAAGCGGCUCUCUGGUCUGCAACUGACACUGAGGCGCGAAAGCGUGGGGAGCAAACAGG